UGGGGAAUCUUGCGCAAUGCGCGAAAGCGUGACGCAGCAACGCCGCGUGGGGGAAGAAGGCUCUCGGGUCGUAAACCCCUUUCAGUUGGGACGAAGCUUCUCCGGUGAAUAGCCGGACGGAGUGACGGUACCUUCACAAGAAGCCCCGGCUAACUACGUGCCAGCAGCCGCGGUAAUACGUAGGGGGCAAGCGUUGUCCGGAAUCAUUGGGCGUAAAGCGCGUGUAGGCGGCUUGAUAAGUCUGUUGUGAAAGUCCAGGGCUCAACCCUGGAAUGCCGAUGGAUACUGUCAAGCUCGAGUCCGGAAGAGGCGAGUGGAAUUCCUGGUGUAGCGGUGAAAUGCGCAGAUAUCGGGAGGAACACCCGUGGCGAAGGCGGCCUUCUGGACGGAUACUGACGCUGAUACGCGAAAGCGUGGGGAGCAAACAGGAUUAGAUACCCUGGUAGUCCACGCUGUAAACGAUGGGCACUAGGUGUCGCGGGUAUUGACCCCUGCGGUGCCGCAGCUAACGCACUAAGUGCCCCGCCUGGGGACUACGGCCGCAAGGUUA
rnacentral:rRNA from 1 species